rnacentral:rRNA from 1 species
UGGGGAAUAUUGCACAAUGGGGGAAACCCUGAUGCAGCGACGCCGCGUGAGCGAAGAAGGUUUUCGAAUCGUAAAGCUCUGUCCUAUGAGAAGAUAAUGACGGUAUCAUAGGAGGAAGCCCUGGCUAAAUACGUGCCAGCAGCCGCGGUAAUACGUAUGGGGCGAGCGUUGUCCGGAAUUAUUGGGCGUAAAGGGUACGUAGGCGGUUUUUUAAGUCAGGUGUCAAAGCGUGGAGCUUAACUCCAUUAAGCACUUGAAACUGAAAGACUUGAGUGAAGGAGAGGAAAGUGGAAUUCCUAGUGUAGCGGUGGAAUGCGUAGAUAUUAGGAGGAAUACCGGUGGCGAAGGCGACUUUCUGGACUUUUACUGACGCUCAGGUACGAAAGCGUGGGGAGCAAACAGG